AUCAAAUUAUAAUCAAUUCAUUUUAAUUCGAGCAUAUAUAAGUGAUUAGAUUGCUUUAUACAUCAAAAUGACUAGUCAAGUCAAUAUUGCAACCCAACCACUUAUAUAUUGCCCUUUAACUUCAUAUUCUUUCGAUGUGAGAUUCUAACACUUCCCCCUAAAGUGCGACCACAUGAUUGUUACUUAACAAUUAGUUUGUAUUUUUAUUUUCAUCCCAAUACAAGCCUAAUUAUACAGUCGUAUGGGCGGUUGAAACCUACAACUCAGUCCGGACUCUGAUAACAUGUUAAAUUUGAGAGAGCGUUGGAUAAAUUACACUUUAAUUCAUUUUAAUUUGGGUUUAUAUAAGUGAUUAGAAUGCUCUACAUAUCAAAAUGACUAACCAAAUUAAUGUUGCAACCAAACCACUUAUAAAUUGCCAUUUUAUUUUAUAUUCUUUUGAUUUGGGAUUCUAACAAUAUCAGCUAUUCUGAACUACAAAAAAUGAAACAGAAUAAAGUCUAUAUGCUUAAUGCAUUGAAGCAAAGAGAUGAGGGUUUCAUAAAUUGAAACAAUGGCAUCAUUUAGGCAAAGAAAUGAAUAGACAGCCUUUGAUAAUGGCCAUAUUGUCUCCUCAAAUCUGGAGGCAACAUAUCUAGAGUCAAUAACAUUAUUCCUAUUCUACCGAGUCAAUAUUAUUCUAAAUGGAGAAGUUCCAAAUAAGAGGCCAAGUUGGGAAAGUACUCACUGCAUCCCAUCUAAAUAUGUUCUUGUAGUCCCAUUGAAGGCUCCAGAUAAGGAUGUUAAGCUUAAUACCCAAUUCUCCGAAGUGUUCUCAUACCCCUUGAAAGCCUUGUCAGCAAGCAUUUGCUGCAGCACUCGAACAACUUGUGCUCCGGCGGAAUGCCCAACAAAGUGAAUUGGGUGAUCCUCAUCCCAUUCGGGAUAGUGCCCUUGUUCAUAAAUUCGUCCAAAUUGAGAGUGGCCACAAGCCUUGCUGUGUUCUUCACCAUAAUCAACUUGCCCGCCUUUCAAAUAAUAGAACAACUCGCGAGCCCUAUCGUAUAUGCUGGUUAAGGACCCCAAAUCGGGCACCAGAACCUUCUCAUCUUUCUUCUCAGCCCCAGCGAAAUAUGAUAAACCGCCCAAUUUCCCUUUGCCAAAUCCAAAGAUUCCAUGGACCAACACAAUAGGAGGCAGGUCAUCACCAUUGGUGGUGGUUUUUGAUGUUCCUCUGGGCUCCUCCUCUUUCACCACAAUAUUCAUAUUAGGCUUGCAAAACCAUUGGUUUAAAGUCUGUGAGAGAUCACCAGCCACAGCUGAGCUAAAUAUGUAAAGGCCAUAAACCACAUGCACUACAACACUAACAAAUAGCUCUGUUAAUUGCAGAGCAGAUAUCCACCACCUUAUCAUUUUCUCAAAUUCACCAACCAAAGCAAGAAAGAAAAGAAAACGAAAACAAUAACCUAAAAACAGAGCCUUCUUCAAAACUAGAAACCCCCACCAACAAGAAGAAAAAAAAAGAAAGAAAGAAAAGAUUCAUUAAAAGAAGUUCUCAAGGAAAGGAAAUGCUUUCGAAUUCUUGUAUGGGGAACUGCAAAACAAACUAGUAAAGGGUCUUCUAGGGAUGCUUUCUCAGUGGCCACAUAUUAUUAGAGAACAUGGAAGUACUAUAGCCCAUAGCUAGGAGGGGACCAAGGUAAAUUUUCCACUUUCGCAUCGCUCGUGAUGAUGGUUGUGUAGGGGCAUGUUUUUCCAGAAAAAUCCACUCUAUUUUGUCGGCAUUAUAAAGAAUUAUGAUGGUGUUUGUUGGUUGCGUUCGUGGUGGCUGUGAUGAUGGAAGCAUAUGAUAUA
rnacentral:misc_RNA from 1 species